GCUUGGGAACUUGCCUUUGCGAGGGGGAUAACAGUUGGAAACGACUGCUAAUACCGCAUAAUGUCUUCGGACCAAACGGGGCUUCGGCUCCGGCGCAAAGAGAGGCCCAAGUGAGAUUAGCUAGUUGGUAAGGUAACGGCUUACCAAGGCGACGAUCUCUAGCUGUUCUGAGAGGAAGAUCAGCCACACUGGGACUGAGACACGGCCCAGACUCCUACGGGAGGCAGCAGUGGGGAAUAUUGCACAAUGGGGGAAACCCUGAUGCAGCCAUGCCGCGUGUGUGAAGAAGGCCUUCGGGUUGUAAAGCACUUUCAGUUGUGAGGAAAAGUUAGUAUUAAUACCUGCUAGCCGUGACGUUAACAACAGAAGAAGCACCGGCUAACUCCGUGCCAGCAGCCGCGGUAAUACGGAGGGUGCGAGCGUUAAUCGGAAUUACUGGGCGUAAAGCGCACGCAGGCGGUUUGUUAAGCUAGAUGUGAAAGCCCCGGGCUCAACCUGGGAUGGUCAUUUAGAACUGGCAGACUAGAGUCUUGGAGAGGGGAGUGGAAUUCCAGGUGUAGCGGUGAAAUGCGUAGAUAUCUGGAGGAACAUCAGUGGCGAAGGCGACUCCCUGGCCAAAGACUGACGCUCAUGUGCGAAAGUGUGGGUAGCGAACAGGGAUUAGAUACCCCUGGUAGUCCACACCGUAAACGCUGUCUACUAGCUGUGUGUGUCUUUUAAGGCGUGCGUAGCGAAGCUAACGC
rnacentral:rRNA from 1 species